AUGGUGCAUAACAAGAGUCUGACUAGGGACAAUUUGGCUAAACGCCAACAUGUGGAGGAUCUAACGUGUGUCUUCUGUGGUGAAGCUGAAAGUAUCCGUCACCUAUUUUUUGAGUGUGUGGUGGCCCGACAAGUGUGGCUGGUGAUUUCUAAUUGCACUAAGAUGCCUGUGCCAGAAUCGUUUGAAUCUUUUAUUCCUUUUUGGAAGAAGAAAAAAUGCUAUGAUGCAAUGAAUCUGAUCUCUAUUGCUACCUUAUGGAGCUUAUGGUUGUUUCGGAAUGAAUUUGUGUUUCAAGGGAGAAAAUGGCGAAGUAUCAAGUGUGUGCUGGAACUGGCGGGGAGGCAUAUCCAUCAAUGGAAGAUCUUGUGCGUGGACUCCCAAGCUGUGCUACUCCUCCAAUGCUUGAAGCUGCUCGACCAUCAUCACGGGGAGUAG
rnacentral:rRNA from 1 species